AGGAUAAACGCUGGCGGCGUGCCUAACACAUGCAAGUCGAACGCCCUUGAGCAAUCGAGGGAGUGGCGGACGGGUGAGUAACACGUGGGUACCUACCCCAAGGUGAGGAAUACCGGCGAGAAAUCGCCGACAAUACCGCAUAGGCUUCGUAAGAAGCAAAGCUCGCAAGGGCGCCAUGGGAAGGGCCUGCGGCCGAUUAGCUGGUUGGUGAGGUAAAAGCUCACCAAGGCGACGAUCGGUAGCUGGUCUGAGAGGAUGAUCAGCCACACUGGGAUUGAGAACGGCCCAGACUCCUACGGGGGGCAGCAGUGAGGAAUUUUCGUCAAUGGGGGCAACCCUGAACGAGCAACGCCGCGUGCAGGAAGAAGGUUUUCGGAUCGUAAACUGCUUUUCUCUGGGACGAGAACGGACGGUACCAGAGGAAUCAGCCCCGGCUAACUACGUGCCAGCAGCCGCGGUAAUACGUAGGGGGCAAGCGUUGUCCGGAUUUAUUGGGCGUAAAGCGCACGCAGGCGGUCUGCCAAGUUCGGAGUGACAGUUUCCGGCUUAACCGGAAAAGGUCUUCGAAAACUGGUGGACUUGAGGACUUGAGGGGGAGACGGAAUUCCGGGUGGAGCGGUGAAAUGCGUAGAGAUCCGGAGGAACACCGAAAGCGAAGGCAGUCUCCUGGCAAGUUUCUGACGCUCAGGUGCGAAAGCUAGGGGAGCGAACAGGAUUAGAUACCCUGGUAGUCCUAGCCGUAAACGAUGACCACUAGGCGUAGGAGGUAUCGACCCCUUCUGUGCCGCAGCUUACGCAUUAAGUGGUCCGCCUGGGGAGUACGGUCGCAAGAUUAAA
rnacentral:rRNA from 1 species